GGCAACCGCUUCACAACGGAUCGUCCGGCACGUACCUGCCGGUGAAGGAAGGAUCGAA
rfam:Curtobacterium sp. ER1/6 Contig_11, whole genome shotgun sequence.